CUCGGGCCCAGAGUUGUAUUGUCAAGGGGCGUUUUCACGGUGCGGGUCGGACGCGAGAUCCUCUGGAACGAGGUGCCGCAGAGGGUGAGAGCCCCGUUGGCGUCUGGCGCGCAUCCUACUUGAUACGUCUCGCACGAGUCGGGUUGUUUGGGAUUGCAGCCCCAAGCUGGGUGGUGAAGCACAUCCAAGGCUAAAUAGUGGCGAGAGACCGAUAGCGAACAAGUACCGUGAGGGAAAGAUGAAAAGAACUUUGAAAAGAGAGUUAAACAGUAUGUGAAAUUGUUGAAAGGGAACGGUUGUGGCUGGAGGAGGCUUUGGCGGCGCGGACCAGGCUUGGCGCGAGUCGAGCUGCAUGCCGCGGCGUCGAGGAAUCAGGGCGGGUUUCGUCUGGCGGAGAGCGGGCGGCGCGAGGUAGGUUGCCUUUGGGCAACUGUUAUAGGCGCCGCUUGGCGGAGCGCGGGACGGGACCCGGGAGACUUUUGGACAGUUGGCAGCGCGGUUCUGGCGCUGGGUGUGGCUGCUGCGGACAAGCGUGCUCUUUGCGGGGCGCCUUGGCGCGGCGGGUGCAUCUGGCGCAGCAGGCGGCGGUGCACACAACCAAAACAAUCUAUUUCAAAUCUCCCUGAACAG
rnacentral:rRNA from 1 species